AUUCCAGCUCCAAUAGCGUAUAUUAAAGUUGUUGCAGUUAAAAAGCUCGUAGUUGGAUUUCUGGUAGAAGUAGCGACCUUGGGUCUUUGACCUAUGAAGUUGCUAUCUUCAACCAUCCUUGAAGAGAUUUAGUUUGGCAUUAAGUUGUCGAACUAAAGAUAUUCAUCUUUUACUGUGAAAAAAUCAGAACGUUCAAAGUAAGCAUUUAGCUUUGAAUGUAUUGGCAUGGAAUAAUGAAAUAGGACUUAGGUACUACUUUGUUGGUUUAUGCACCUAGGUAAUGAUUAAUAGGGAUAGUUGGGGGUAUUCGUAUUCCAAUGUUAGAGGUGAAAUUCUUGGAUUUUUGGAAGACGAACAACUGCGAAAGCAUUUACCAAGGAUGUUUUCAUCA
rnacentral:rRNA from 1 species